AAUUAAUUACUUUUUAGUAAAUUUUUUAAAAUAAUAAUUAUUAUUAAUACAUAAAAAAUGAGAGUACUACUAUUAUUAUUUGAAAAUUAAUUAUAUAAUACAUAAUUAAAAAAUAUAUAGAAGCGCUAUUGAACCAUUUUGCAUGUUACGCUUUGGCUAAAGAAGAUGGUGAUGUCUUCAUCAUCCCGCAGGACCUGUGCCCGUCCUCUUAAAGGACAUCAAGUAACUAAACUCGCUCCCAAAUCAACCUUUGGACCUGUGUGCCACUGUGCCUUGCUAUAGUAUCAACAUUCUGAUGAGCUUCUUGCUAGCCUCUCAAGCAAGAUAUAAAAUUAAAGCAGAUGCUGAUGAAACAUCGACUAAUUCUACAAUUUACAACUUUACACAGGCACUGUGCAAGUCACGUGGUUGAAUAUAUAUGCAUGUAUUGUGUAUUACAACAAGGAUUCACUGGGUACAUACAAAAAUCAACACCUAUAAUGUAUGUAUCAUGCAAUGAGAUUUUGAGGGUAACCUUUCCAAACUGCCCUAACAGGAAAAACUGAAGCAACGCGUUGUACCUGCAGAAGAAAAAAGAGGUUAAUCUGCAAUAUUUGUCUCCAAAAGAGCUCAAUGGGGAGAAAAAGAUAGGUAAGUAUAUGAACCAGUCUUUUGGUGUUAACAUAUCCUAGGAAAGGAAAAGGUGAACGGUUUGGCAUGUGAAUACAAAUGCUGCAGUUAAAAUUUAACUUGAUCUAUUUGAUGUGGUUCCAAACGGAAGUUGAUGAUGGCUAUAAACAAUCCUUUGGUAAGAACGAAAAAAAUAUAAUCAUUGGUACUCUUCAAGUGAAAAGUUUUUCUUUUUCCAACCACAAUUUGAUGGAGUAACUCUCAACUCAACCAAGCCUUAAUCCCAAACUCAUUUGGACAAAUUUGAUGAGGUAAAAAAUGAUUUUUUUUUUCAAAACUUGUUUUCACUGCUACAAAAGUAUUGUCAGAACAGUUCUCUAAAUAAAUGAUUACUAACCUUGGUUAAAGUUUCAAAUGCUUCAAGCUUCUGGAGAAAACCUGAACACAUCUUACAAAAUGCUCAAGACCUAAAACUACACUGCAUUAUCUCACAUCUUAGUGCUAGACUCAACAAAUGAAUCAAAAUGAUCAUGUAAGGCCAUCACCAAAAAUCACAGCCUGACCAAGCACUGUUCUAACACGAAGCUGCUAGAAAUGAAGCAUAGAAUGUGGUUCAAAAUUAAACAUUUCGGAUAAGUAAAAGGGAAAUCCACAGUCCACAUUAGAUAAAUGUAGGACCUUCACAUCCAAGCAGGGAUCAUUGACCAUAUUCCUUAUUUCAGGUACUAUGCCCAGACUCCGUAGUUUAAUAAGCCGACGAAAUGCACCAGGACUUGAUGGAAAUGUGAGGUUUACAAUGGCCCAGACAGCAGCUGUACGCAGUCGGCUGUCAUUACUCCGUAGGAACUUGAUUAUAAAAGAUUGAUUUUCAUUGUCCACUUGUGGAAGAAGUUGUUGCAUAACUGCUUCCUUAUGAAACUCAUUUCCACUGGCCACAUUGCCAAGCACAUACAUUCCCUACAUGAGAACAAUUUGGGUCAUUUGCAAUAAGCUAUAAAUGGUAAACUUCCAAAACCUGACUAAAUCCCAAUCUCUGAUACAGUUUUACCAAUCAUAAUAAAACAAAGGCAACAGUUGUGCACCAUGCUACCUGUACAAUUCAAAUCCUUACACAGGCAUAAAAUUGGAAACAAUCAAAACAAAUGAUUGCCAGUUGGCAUAAAAAAAUGUCUAGCUACUAUCAGAAAGGAGAUCAACCAUUGUAUCACCAAUUUAUUUAGGUUUACUUGCUUAAUAAACAAUUUUUCUACUUGCCUAUCAACAUCCAACUACUUAAAGAAUGCAUAAUUCAUUUGUUUCCCUAUAUGAUUGAUAAUUGAAAAUGAUUCAACUAAUUGCUUGGAUUUCACAAUUAUUAAUUAUAAAUGCACAUCUAAUUAUAAAUUUCCAAUGUACAAGUUGCAUGCGAUAGAUUGUCUGCCUCUCCUUGGAUGCAAAAUCCCCAAGUGCCUCAAAAUAUAAGACAACUAUGACAAUUACGCUUGAAGCAUGGUUUAUAUAAUUCAGUUUUUUUCUUUUAUACACUCAGGAUUAACUUCAUUUCACUAACAACAGGCACUACCCUUGCAGUAAUGUGAAGCAAUAAGUGAAGCAAUUUCCAUGUAAGAUAUAUAAUAAAAAUAUUACCACACUAUGACAAUAUUUCUCUAUCAGAAAUUAACAUCAAUAUGGCACCGAUAUCCAUAUAUAGCUGUUACUAAUUGUGAUUUAUGAUUUCAGUUUUCCAAACACUCUAAGCUAAUACAACUUCUAACCUGUAUGCCAAUUUCAGCUUUUGAAGUGCUCUCUAAUUGCUUUCUAACAGCAUCUAAUAUAAUACCAUUCUCAGUGAAGACAUACUCAACCGAGCUUAUACACCCAUCAAUAAGAUUCCGAACAAGGGCCAGAGCUUGCUCUUGAACAAAAGGAUUGUGGUCUGCAAAGGAAUUAACACAGGGUUUAUCUCCAAAAAUAAAGUAUCACCAUACUUGAGAGAACUAACAGUUGCAGACACUAUAAGCAUUACCACAGAUAAGGCUUGCUAACAAAGAAGCAGUAAGCUCCAUAAAAAUUCCUUCUUUACAUCUAUCAUCCGCCAGAAACACCAUGUUUUUCAAAGCCCAUAAUGCAUUUAACCUGACAGUUGACUCCAUUGAUUUUGAUAACUGAAUGAGCUGUUUUAAAGCUCCACAUUGCACAAAAGUGGAUUUUCCUGUCGUAAAAUCAACUAGUACGUUGCUAAUAGCACCAAGAGCUGCAACCUGGAAACAAUACAUUAAAUGGGAUUUUCCAUAUAAUUUUGUACUUAUCGACUUCAUUAGAAGAUUAUGAGCAGAUACCAAUUGAAACAUGUUGAAUAAGAACAACUGAGCAAAAGCAAAAUAAAAUUAGAAGUACCGUUCAAAUGACCAAUAUUUGAUUGGAAGCUGCAAUGCAGUCAUAUGAUAGCAGGCCGUUAAAUGGGCCUUAAUUGAACUAAAAAAAAAAAUGCUUUUUGUAAGCAAUGAAAGCACUUUAGAAAGAGUUCUGCCCUUUGCAAAAUGAUUUAAAUUUUUGGGAGAGUGUAAUGCACUUCAUUUCAAGACUUCAGAUUAUUCACAAUCACUGACAGGUUAAGCAAACACAAACCUGAACAGACGCCAAAGGGUCAUUUAAAAGCUGGACCAAAGGAAUAACAAGCACUUCAUUCAUAAAAUAUCCUGCACAUAAGUUCUUGAUUGACCGUGUGACACUUCUUAUGCAAAUACAAGCUGCAGUGCGUACAUCAGCACUAUCAUGAGUUAGUGCAUCAAUCACCAAAUUCAAAACCUGCAAUGACAGGAAUCUAGACCUGCAGUUCUCCAGCUUUGAGCAUAUAUCAGCCAAUGCCAGCAAUAUACCUUGGAAUCGCUUCGGAUGUAACCGAAAGUUUUGCAAGUGAUUUGAAAAUUUAUCAAGGGCAUUUGCCUCAAAAGCUAAUUUCUGUAGGUCCUCCUUUUCCAUGAUUAAACUGGAAAAAACAAAGGGAGCUUCAUCUCCAACUUGACCAGGAUCAUCAAGAAGCUCAAGUAACAGAUGUACCAAUUUGGUUUUGAUUCCUAUAUCUUGCAGAUAGCAAGAAGAAGAAUUCCUUAUGACAAUCAGGCACAUGCAGGAAAGCAGUCUUGUCCGUGGAUUCCUGUCCUUUGUCAAUCCCAUUAUAGAACCCAAAGCUCGUCCACUUUCUGGUCCCACAAACUUUGAGAUGACUUCAGGAUUGUUCCUGAACAAUGCAGCCAGAGACUCCAAGCUGGCAUCUCUCUGACAAAGAGAACCGUCAAGGAGGCUAAGAAGCUUAUGUAGAACCCCAGCAUCACAUAAUGACGUUUGCUCCAGACUUGUCUCACAAGAAUGCGUAAUGAUACUUGCACCAAGACCAGUAACAUUUUCACUCUCGCUGUUCAAUAAUGAAAUAAGGAAUUCCAUCUUUUUAUCUUUAAGGAAUUCAUAUUUUGGUGUUAGUUUAGACUGAUAGAUCAUUCUAAUGGAACGAGCACUAGCAUCCACCACCUUCUCAUCUGGAUUGGAAAGGAGCCGAACAAGGUAAGGGAAAGCGCCGGCAUCUAGAACGGCUCGGACACCGGCAUCAAAGCCGCAUGCAAAGCUCCCAAGAACCGCCGCAGACUGGAUAAUAAUGUUAUAAUUGUAGUGGUUACUAUUUUUAUCCGCGAUGCUGACGUCACCUUGCGCUAAUUGAGAGUCGGCUUCGGCAAGGAUGGAAGCAACGGUAGGAAUGGCGCCUAACUUGAGGAAGGCAAGUUUCUUGGUGCGAUUACCGAUGAUCUGGUUCUUGAUUUCUCUGAGGGCCUUGAGCUUGAUAUCAGGGUCAGGUGAGGCGAGACGGUUGAGGAGGUCCAUAGGGCGGUGAGCAAGGGCAGCGGAGGCAGUUGGCAUGGUGGCGUAUUGGCAUUAAAGCAAGCUCCACGAGGGAGCCGGAGGGUAUCGCCGGGCGGGAGAAAUUAAGCGAGAGGACAGGUUACGAG
rnacentral:misc_RNA from 1 species